ACCAGGAUGGCCGAGUGGUUAAGGCGUUGGACUUAAGUUCGAAUGUACGGAUGUACGCAUGGGUUCUAACCCCACUUCUGGUA
rnacentral:tRNA from 1 species